rnacentral:rRNA from 1 species
UACGUGCGGGGCGAACGUUGUUCGGUGUCACUGGGCUUAAAGGGUGCGUAGGUGGUUGCGUAAGUAAGGUGUGAAAUCCCUCGGCUUACCCGGGGAAUUGCAUUUUAUACUGCGUGGCUUGAGGACUAAAGGGGAAAAGGGAACUCCAGGUGUAGCGGUGAAAUGCGCAGAUAUCUGGGGGAAGGCCGGCGGCGAAGGCGCUUUUCUGGUUAGUACCUGACACUGAGGCACGAAAGCGUGGGGAGCAAACAGG